GAUGAACGCUGGCGGCGUGCCUAAUACAUGCGAGUCGAGCGAACGGACGAGAAGCUUGCUUCUCUGAUGUUAGCGGCGGACGGGUGAGUAACACGUGGAUAACCUACCUAUAAGACUGGGAUAACUUCGGGAAACCGGAGCUAAUACCGGAUAAUAUUUUGAACCGCAUGGUUCAAAAGUGAAAGACGGUCUUGCUGUCACUUAUAGAUGGAUCCGCGCUGCAUUAGCUAGUUGGUAAGGUAACGGCUUACCAAGGCAACGAUGCAUAGCCGACCUGAGAGGGUGAUCGGCCACACUGGAACUGAGACACGGUCCAGACUCCUACGGGAGGCAGCAGUAGGGAAUCUUCCGCAAUGGGCGAAAGCCUGACGGAGCAACGCCGCGUGAGUGAUGAAGGUCUUCGGAUCGUAAAACUCCGUUAUUAGGGAAGAACAUAUGUGUAAGUAACUGUGCACAUCUUGACGGUACCUAAUCAGAAAGCCACGGCUAACUACGUG
rnacentral:rRNA from 1 species